rnacentral:rRNA from 1 species
ACUUAACACAUGACGAAGUCGAACGGUGAACCAGAGUCUUGCUCGUAGGGAUCAGUGGCGAACGGGUGAGUAACACGUGGGCAACCUGCCCCAGACUCUGGGAUAACCUCGGGAAACCGAUGCUAAUACCGGAUACGACCACUUCGGACAUCCGACGGUGGUGGAAAGUUUUCGGUCUGGGAUGGGCCCGCGGCCUAUCAGCUAGUUGGUGGGGUAAUGGCCUACCAAGGCGACGACGGGUAGCCGGCCUGAGAGGGCGACCGGCCACACUGGAACUGAGACACGGUCCAGACUCCUACGGGAGGCAGCAGUGGGGAAUAUUGCACAAUGGGCGAAAGCCUGAUGCAGCGACGCCGCGUGAGGGACGACGGCCUUCGGGUUGUAAACCUCUUUCAGCAGGGACGAAGCGAAAGUGACUGUACCUGCAGAAGAAGCACCGGCUAACUACGUG